UGCUGCUCGAUCUGCCUCAUG
rnacentral:piRNA from 1 species